rnacentral:rRNA from 1 species
GACGAACGCUGGCGGCGUGCUUAACACAUGCAAGUCGAGCGGUAAGGCCCUUUCGGGGGUACACGAGCGGCGAACGGGUGAGUAACACGUGGGUGACCUGCCUUUAGCUCUGGGAUAAGCCUGGGAAACUGGGUCUAAUACCGGAUAUGACCCUAUGGCGCAUGUUGUGGGGUGGAAAGCCUUGUGCGGCUAGGGAUGGGCCCGCGGCCUAUCAGCUUGUUGGUGGGGUGAUGGCCUACCAAGGCGACGACGGGUAGCCGGCCUGAGAGGGCGACCGGCCGACACUGGGACUGAGACACGGCCCAGACUCCUACGGGAGGCAGCAGUGGGGAAUCUUGCGCAAUGGCGAAAGCCUGACGCAGCGACGCCGCGUGAGGGAUGACGGCC